GAGUUUGAUCAUGGCUCAGGAUGAAUGCUGGCGGCGUGCCUUAAGCAUGCAAGUCGAACGGAUGAGUCGCAAGACAAGUCAGUGGCAGACGGGUGAGUAACGCGUAGGAAUCUACCCCUGGGCGGGGAAUAGCCCACCGAAAGGUGGGGUAAUACCCCAUGGUCUCGUAAGAGUAAAGGACUUAACGGUCCACCGAGGGAGGAGCCUGCGUCCUAUCAGCUAGUUGGCGGGGUAAAAGCCCACCAAGGCAAAGAUGGCUAGCUGGUCUGAGAGGAUGACCAGCCACACUGGGACUGAGACACGGCCCAGACUCCUACGGGAGGCAGCAGUGGGGAAUAUUGCGCAAUGGGCGAAAGCCUGACGCAGCGACGCCGCGUGGGUGAUGAAGGCCUUCGGGUCGUAAAGCCCUGUCGGGAGGGACGAAACCUCGGCGACCUAACAUGUCGUCGACCUGACGGUACCUCCGAAGGAAGCACCGGCUAACUCCGUGCCAGCAGCCGCGGUAAUACGGAGGGUGCGAGCGUUGUUCGGAAUCACUGGGCGUAAAGCGCGUGUAGGCGGCCUUGUAAGUCUGGUGUGAAAGCCCGGGGCUUACCCCCGGAAGUGCAUUGGAAACUGCAAGGCUUGAGUACCGGAGAGGAAGGUGGAAUUCCUGGUGUAGCGGUGAAAUGCGUAGAUAUCAGGAGGA
rnacentral:rRNA from 1 species